rnacentral:rRNA from 1 species
CCUACGGGGGGCAGCAGUGAGGAAUAUUGCGCAAUGGACGAAAGUCUGACGCAGCAACGCCGCGUGAAGGAUGAAGGUGCUCUGCAUUGUAAACUUCUGUAGGGAGGGAAGAACAACCUGUUAUUGAUGGGUUUGACGGUACCUCCAAAGUAAGCACCGGCUAAUUCCGUGCCAGCAGCCGCGGUAAUACGGAAGGUGCAAGCGUUGUCCGGAUUGACUGGGUGUAAAGGGCGCGUAGGCGGAGAUGUGUGUCGGGAGUGAAAUCGUGCGGCUUAACCGUACAAUUGCUUUCGAAACUACAUCCCUUGAGUACAGAAGGGGUAGAUGGAAUACCUGGUGUAGCGGUGGAAUGCGUAGAUAUCAGGUAGAACACCGGAGGCGAAGGCGGUCUACUGGUCUGUAACUGACGCUGAGGCGCGAAAGUGUGGGGAGCAAACAGGCUUAGAUACCCCAGUAGUC